rnacentral:rRNA from 1 species
CGAAGCCCUUCGGGCUUAGUGGCGCACGGGUGCGUAACGCGUGGGAAUCUGCCCUUGGGUUCGGAAUAACAGUUAGAAAUGACUGCUAAUACCGGAUAAUGUCUUCGGACCAAAGAUUUAUUGCCCAAGGAUGAGCCCGCGUAGGAUUAGCUUGUUGGUGAGGUAAAGGCUCACCAAGGCGACUAUCCUUAGCUGGUCUGAGAGGAUGAUCAGCCACACUGGGACUGAGACACGGCCCAGACUCCUACGGGAGGCAGCAGUGGGGAAUAUUGGACAAUGGGCGAAAGCCUGAUCCAGCAAUGCCGCGUGAGUGAUGAAGGCCUUAGGGUUGUAAAGCUCUUUUACCCGGGAUGAUAAUGACAGUACCGGGAGAAUAAGCCCCGGCUAACUCCGUGCCAGCAGCCGCGGUAAUACGGAGGGGGCUAGCGUUGUUCGGAAUUACUGGGCGUAAAGCGCACGUAGGC